CUCUGUUGUGUUUUCCGUUCAGUGUCUUCGGACAGGAGGUGAUUCCCACUAAAUAAUGGGAGUAUAAACUUUGGUGUCUUCGGGCAGGACAUACUUGGCUCAGCUGCUGGAAUGAUCUAUGUUGUACGAUCUGGUUGCAGUGCGGUGACGGCACCGCCCUCCGCUGCGCGUAACAGGGAUGCUGGCCUCCGGGGCUAAAGAAGGAAAUGCAACGAAGUUCCAGUCUUCAUUCUGGUCGCUGCUUCCACGGAUUGCCUUGGAGAAACAGGAACAUGCUCUGCUUUUCCGUGCAGUUGCAUGCAAAUCUUUUCGUAGUCUGUUGAUUUUGUUAAAAGUAUUUAGCGUUCGUGUGGCCGUGCUUUGACACUUUGUAAUCGAAAUGCCUGUUCAUUUUCACUUGAAAGCCUGUGCAUCAGUCAUACUGCAAUGCUUUGUUUUGUAUGCAUUUUUUACUCAAUAAAUUAUUCAUUGGAGUUUGAUUUUGUUCUUUCAUUUCUCAUGCAGAGCUCUGUACCCCCUUGGCCCUGAAAAACCUUGAUGUUGGUGAGUUUCUUGGCGGAGAGAUUUUGCGAACUGUUUCUGAGAAACGAUGCGAUGAGCUGUUUUAUCCUUGGAGUCACCUACCGCAAGGGGACACCCUAUCGCAUUGUGACUUGGAAUCUGCAGAGGCUACCCCCUUUUUAAGUGUGCCCAGAUUGUCCCGCCAAAAAACCGUCCACUCCUCUUUUUGGAGAGGGGGGCUGGAUGAAUGACC
rnacentral:lncRNA from 1 species